rnacentral:rRNA from 1 species
GCCGGAGGGAAACCGAGUCUUAAUUGGGCGUUAAGUUGCAGGGUAUAGACCCGAAACCCGGUGAUCUAGCCAUGGGCAGGUUGAAGGUUGGGUAACACUAACUGGAGGACCGAACCGACUAAUGUUGAAAAAUUAGCGGAUGACCUGUGGCUGGGGGUGAAAGGCCAAUCAAACCGGGAGAUAGCUGGUUCUCCCCGAAAGCUAUUUAGGUAGCGCCUCGUGAAUUCAUCUCCGGGGGUAGAGCACUGUUUCGGCUAGGGGGCCAUCCCGGCUUACCAACCCGAUGCAAACUGCGAAUACCGGAGAAUGUUAUCACGGGAGACACACGGCGGGUGCUAACGUCCGUCGUGAAGAGGGAAACAACCCAGACCGCCAGCUAAGGUCCCAAAGUCAUGGUUAAGUGGGAAACGAUGUGGGAAGGCCCAGACAGCCAGGAUGUUGGCUUAGAAGCAGCCAUCAUUUAAAGAAAGCGUAAUAGCUCACUGGUCGAGUCGGCCUGCGCGGAAGAUGUAACGGGGCUAAACCAUGCACCGAAGCUGCGGCAGCGACACUGUGUGUUGUUGGGUAGGGGAGCGUUCUGUAAGCCUGUGAAGGUGUGUCGUGAGGC